GCUAGGUCUAGAGGGAAGUUGUGAG
rnacentral:snRNA from 1 species